rnacentral:rRNA from 1 species
UACAGAGGGGGCAAGCGUUGUUCGGAAUUACUGGGCGUAAAGGGCGCGUAGGCGGCCCGCUAAGUCGAACGUGAAAUCCCCGAGCUCAACUCGGGAACUGCGUCCGAUACUAGCGGUCUUGAGUUUGGGAGAGGGAAGCGGAAUUCCUGGUGUAGAGGUGAAAUUCGUAGAUAUCAGGAGGAACACCGGCGGCGAAGGCGGCUUCCUGGCCCAAUACUGACGUUCAGGUACGAAAGCGUGGGUAGCAAACAGG